rnacentral:lncRNA from 1 species
UCCUGAAUUUUUCUUCGGAGAUUAAAACACGUUUCAAGUAUCUAAAAAUAUCCCCAAAAAUCCAAAACCAGUGUUAAAAUCCUUUUUCGGCUAAUUUCGAAAUUCCGUUACGGCAGCAACGCCAUACUCCGACGACGGCACUGCCAUGCUCCGGCGACGGCACUGCUGCCCGCGACGGCGGUUUGUUUCGGAUUGGCUAUUUUCGGUCGGUUUUGGACGGUUUUGUAAUCAUUCCUGCGAAAAAACACGUUAAGCGGACUCAGUUGGCCGAAAAAAGUCCAAAAAUAGAAGCUUACUGGCGGUGGGGUUUUCUGGUACAGCGGCUCCGCUGGCUCACCUUCACGGUUAGGUGUUUUUCUUCGAUCAACCUGUGGAAAACAGAAUGGUGAAUACAAUGGUGAAAAAAUCGCACGAAACGGGAAUUGGGAAGAGCCUUGUUAGAGGCGAUUUUUUAUUUUUCCCGCAGCGGUACUGCCGAGCUUUACCUACGGUUUCCGGCUCAUUCACCAGUUCUUUUGCUCCAAUUUGGCAUGGGGGUGUUCAAAAUCAAAUUUCGAGUAAAUGAAAUUUUUUUUAUCUUUUUUGGCAGUCAAAGGUGGCUCCAGUACAGCGGCUGGCGGCGGUCGGUUUUCUUUUCCAGCGACUGGUUCUUUUUCUCCAGCGGGAGGUUGGCGGUUAGGGUUAUGAUUCGGUAUGAAAUGAGGUAUUUAUAUCCAUUUUCUUUUAAUUUGGGUCAUCCAUCGCGUUUGAUCUCGAUCGUCCAAUCACGUUUAAAUAGGAAAUGAAUUUGAACCGUUCAUCGCGAUUUGAUCUGAACCAUACGAUCGCUCUUGAGGAGGGAACGGAUCCGGACUGUCCACACGUGCAGGAACAAAUCCAGCUGAUCGCGGGCACGCAAAUUGUCAGCAUGGCCUCCCGCGUGGCACUGCGUCAGCGUGCCUUGCCACGCGGUGUGCUCCGGUUUAUUGGGCUGCUAAUUGGGCGGUCCUACGUGGCACAUUUUUUUUAAAUUGUAUUUUGACCCCAGUUUUUUAUUUUUCUUUCAAAAACACUCUCAUAAUCUAAAUUUUCACCUUUUUUUUCAAAAUUGUUUUCAAUUUCAUUUUCCACCUAUUUUUUCAUAAUUUUUAUAUUAAAUAAAAAUUUAUAAAUUUAUAAAUUAUAUUUUAUACAUUAAUUUAAUUUUUUUUUUUAAAUUAAUUACGGGUAUUACAAUUGAGGUCCUUAGACUCAAUAUACUGCAUUAGAUAGAGCACGCUUAUAAAAUUUCUCCAUUUUCCAUUUUGAUUUGCCAAUGUUAAUAACCUUUCAACCCAUUUGAUUUAAUUCAUAUUCUAUUCCUUGCUUGAGUAGUAGAAUAUUCUUGAUAUGUCUUUGGAUCAGUUUCAUUUCUAGAUUGAUUCAAACAUGAAAUUACUAAUUAAUUCUACAUAUUAAGGAUAUUUUAGUAAUUGAGUAAAAGAAAUGGAAUAUGAAUUAGAGUGAGAGUUAAACCGAAUGGACUAUAAGGGUUGUCUCUAUCUGAUUUUUCCUUUUUUAUCAUCCAAAUUCUCAGUCUCUGCUAAUAAUUUCAAAUCGUAAUCCUUUUUGAGUGUCUUUCCUUAGAUUUCUUCUAUAAACUCUCAUUUUUAUUCUCUAUCUGGGGAAAAAAUAUGCACAAUUCUAUAUCACCUUGAACAAAUCAAC